AUUGAACGCUGGCGGCAGGCCUAACACAUGCAAGUCGAGCGGAUGAAGGGAGCUUGCUCCUGGAUUCAGCGGCGGACGGGUGAGUAAUGCCUAGGAAUCUGCCUGGUAGUGGGGGAUAACGUCCGGAAACGGGCGCUAAUACCGCAUACGUCCUGAGGGAGAAAGUGGGGGAUCUUCGGACCUCACGCUAUCAGAUGAGCCUAGGUCGGAUUAGCUAGUUGGUGGGGUAAAGGCCUACCAAGGCGACGAUCCGUAACUGGUCUGAGAGGAUGAUCAGUCAGACUGGAACUGAGACACGGUCCAGACUCCUACGGGAGGCAGCAGUGGGGAAUAUUGGACGAUGGGCGAAAGCCUGAUCCAGCCAUGCCGCGUGUGUGAAGAAGGUCUUCGGAUUGUAAAGCACUUUAAGUUGGGAGGAAGGACAGUAAGUUAAUACCUUGCUGUUUUGACGUUACCAACAGAAUAAGCACCGGCUAACUUCGUG
rnacentral:rRNA from 1 species